AAGACUUUAUUCUCUGAUGGCUCUUAAAGGUGAUCUCCGGAUACUUCCAUGACUGGUGUAAUAAAAUGGAUGCAAGGUUCAGAACAGAGCACAGAGUAGGAGGCUAAUGCAUAGGAAAUAAAGUGCUAGUGCCCUAGUUGCUUUGGUUUGGAAAAAAGACAUUACCUGAAGUUCAUACUUAAACUGGAAUCGAAUGAAGUUUGGGUGAUUAGAUGUGGACAGGUUCCCACAGAGAAGAGCAAGAAGCAUGUCCUACAGAGGAGGUUUUUAAAAAGGAAAGCCCCCAAUACUAAGGAAAGCAACAUCCUCUGCUCUCAAAGGCUGAUGGUUGGCACGUGGAAAGGACUUAUCCUGGAGAACAGUCAGUAUCCCUUGAAAUGUUCACACCUAAGUUCUGAGAACUGCAUUGUUGUUAACUCUGCUUUUGAUGGCUAUCAGCAGGAUUUUACCACUUCUGAACAGAAGGAAAGGUGCACGUACGCAACAAUUUUCAGCGAAAAGGAAAACCGGAAGACAUUACUGUGUUACCGUAACUUGACCCAAGAGCAGAAGAGGCAAAUAUGCAAGCCGUGCCGAAGGAAGCGUGCAUCCCCGUGGGCACCAGGCUGCCGCGUCCGCGGGCUCAGGUGGGAUGAGGCAGUCGGCCCCAGGGACACCAUGCUUGGUGACAGGGCUCGAAACAGCAGCUGCACAAGUGACGAGAGCAUCACCACACAGGUCUGA
rnacentral:lncRNA from 1 species